UUCACGGUGUUGGAGACUUUGGAAACAGAUGGGGUGGAACAAACACUACACACAGACCAGCAUCUACACAAC